rnacentral:lncRNA from 10 species
UACAGGACGUUGCUGAGUAUUGACGGGGGCGAGUGGGUCCUGCUGCCCCCCUGUGUGAUCCUGAAUAUUGACAGGGACGUCCACACGGAAGCUGUCCAGGUGGCUCUGGCCAGACACAAAGAGCAGAAGAUGGCCAGUGCCUAUGCCUUCCAAACGCAGGUCCCUGGUCGUGCAGACCUCCAUGGACACCUACACCCCUCCAGAUACCUCUUCUGGCUCAGAAGAUGAAGGCUCAGUGCAGGUGGACUCCCAGGGCACCCCGACCUCCAGCCAGGGCAGCAUCAACAUGGAGCACUGGAUCAGUCAGGCCAUCCACGGCUCCACCACGUCCACCACCUCCUCAUCCUCCACUCAGAGUGGGGGUAGCAGAGCUGCCCACAGGCUGGCGGAUGUCAUGGCCCAGACCCCCAUGGAAAAUCAUUCUGCACCUCCUGACGUAACCACGUACACCUCAGAGCACUCGAUACAGAUGGAGCGACCACAGGGUUCCACCGGGUCCCGGACAGCACACAAGUACGGCAACGCCGAGCUCAUGGAGACCGGGGAUGGUAAGUCCCAAAGCAGAGAUGCGUUUUUUUCUGGGAAACGGUUUGUGCUGAUGUCCCGUUCCGUGCCUGUGACUGGGUGUGUUUCUUCCUGGGGUACAAUCUGCUGCCAUUUUAUCUGCUGAAUAACUAACAGUGGUUCAGCAACUGAGAAAUUCUUGUUCAGGUGUUAAGACCGUGAACAGUCACUUAGAAGAGCAAGACGAAAUUAAAUGUACAACAGAAUUACUGUUAGAUGGGCUGAUAUGUUGCUUUAGAUUUCGGAGGAAAGAGGGUCUUUUUAUCCAUGUUGGACAGAGAUGUCAGUGACUUGAUAACAGGCUGCGGCCGAGGGCUGCUUCUUCCUUCUUGUGGCCUGGUCUUGGUAUGUUCUGAGUACAGCAGCGGUUUGUAUCACCUAGCCCCUGUUCUAUUUAAGUCUUAGUCCUUCCCCAGGUUCGUAAAAGUCAGUGUAGAACCUAGCAGUGAAUGAAAUACAAUGCCCCCGUGUGAAGCCUCAUCGAGCAGCGUUGGAAUGGCGUAAUCUUGCAGUGCACGGGACUCGCAGGCGGACAAGGCGGCCUAUCCGAGACCCAACAGGUAGACAGGGAGGACUAUCGGAGCCGCGACAGGCACAGUGGACAGGGAGGUCCGUGUGGACACAGUGGACAGGCACAGUGGCCGUUGUGUGGAUCCACAGGACACUGUGGCGUCCAAGCACGUGCUCCCAGAGGAGAGGACCCUGUGGGAGCUGAUGCUGGGAGCUGGCUGAGAUUCCAGCGAAUAAGACUCCCUGUGACAUGCACAGCUGCCAUCUGCGCAGCAGCUCCUGAUGCCAAGAUGGUCGUGCGAUAAAUGCACAAAGCGCAUCUCCAGCAAAAAGCCGCCGAGUGUCCACAUCCAGGAUAUCCACCAAGGUGGCUUUUUGGUGUUAAUACGAUGAAUGUGAGCAGCAGGUGGUCUGCGUUCUGGGUGUGUGUGACUGUGCCACUGCAGUUUUGUUCUCAUGUCUUGAUGAGCAUGAACGGUUCCUGACGAGGGGUAGGUAAGGAUGCUGUGACCUGAGACUCUGCAGUAUUGUAGCUUGAGGAACCAAGGAGUUUUUCUGUCUUGCAAACCCAUCAGGGAGAAUGUUCCAGGCUGGUGACUGCUCCAUGAGGUAUUCAGAGAUCCAGGUUCCUUUCAGACCCCUGUUCUGUGUUUCCACGGACACGGCUGUCUUUGCUGUGGUUGGGACUGGGUGAUUGCCACGCUGGCGGGGGUAGGCUUAAGGUGAGAGUGGCCAGGAUUUACCUAAUCUACAUAAUGACAGGGAGCCUGGGAGUAAGUGUAGCCAUGGCCUGGAGGAUGGAUGAUGGAUGUUGGUGAACGACUGGCUGCCCUCACUGCAGCUGGCCCAGGGAUGGGAAGGACGACUGAUGGUGCCGUUCAAUGGUACCUGGUUCUUUCAGAUUUGACUUCCUUAUGGAUUUUCUGCUGUAAAGAGGAGAGAGCCUGUGGUUCUAGGCCAAACAUUUCACUCAUCUCAUAGCAUCUUGUAUCCCUUAGCCAACAUUUAUGUCAAGUUUCAGAAGUCCUAUCAAACUGGCAAGCAUUUCUCAGUUUGGUUUAACCAUUGGAUUUUAUAUCUGUGUCUGCAUGUCUAUUUUACAUCUAUGUGGUUAUUUAACACUCUGUAGUACAUUUGUAAUAGGUUCUAUUUGGUGGAAGUUACUUUCAACAAACCUUGCUGCUACUUGAAUUUUCAAGGUUGCAAGUAGAAAGGAGAGAAUAAAAACCACAUCUUCUCUAAUUUUAAAAUUUGUUGUUCCUCAAAUCACACCAGAAGUACAAAUAUUACAAAUUAUAAAAGCAGUCAGAAUCAAGGUUAAGAGAUUUCUGGGUGAUUCUGGCUAAUCAGCAGUAUUUGCUGAGGUGUGUGCAGCAGAGCAACAUGCCAAGGAGCCCGGGACGGGGGAGAGUUGGGAGGCCAGGCUGUGACUUCAGAGGUGCUGUUGCCUCAGGAAGAGGAGCUAGAUGCAGAGAGGAUAAAUGGCCACAGGUGUGACCACUGCCGUCCUUGCCGCGGUACAGGGGCCUUUGUAUGGGGCCCUUUGUGAGCUGAGUUAUGAACCAGAUGAAGGCUGUGCAGGCAUGUGAGAAUCCAGGCCAGACUCGAUGGGUGGAGGCUUGGCAGAGGUGAGGGGCCAGACAGCCUCGCUAAAUGUGCAGUGGCUCACUGCAGACAGUGCCCAUCUGUCGCCGGACAGACCGGCUUGAACUUCAGCCCCCAUGGCAGCUGCCUUUACCUGUCUGCCUCCACCUUCUGAGGCCUAUAGGCAUCGCAAAUGUGUGGUUUUUAAACAGAUUUGGAUGAGUUGUUUUCUGCACAACACACUUUUACCGACGGAGGCUGGUUCUCCACAGUGGCACCAGGGGCUUGGCAGGGACUGGUGGGACAGAGCCUCAGAGCACAGCACCAGCUCCCUGAGAGAAGACGGUGCCCGUGGGAUGGAAGAAAGAAGAGGCACACAGUGCUGAGGCAUGAACUCUAGUUUGCUCUUAGACAUGACACACUUGCCUUCUGGAAGUUUGCAUGAAGCACUGCUAAAGCCACCAGUGUGGACAGGUCCUUAGAUCAGGAGACCCAGAACAUAGUUGUAUUUGAAAUCCUUCACAUGCUGCAAUCUCUUCAAAGAGGACCACAAGUCAUCUCUAAUAAUGUUGUAAAAUUAAUUUUUUAUUAAGUGCCAUGGCUUUGUUUGUUUGUUUGUUUUUGUGGGGUAGGGCCGGUGUGUGACAGUAAAACAACAGAUGCAGUGACACAGCUGGUGGGUGUUGGUUCUGGGCCCCAGCUGGGCAGUUGUAUGAAAAGAAACCGAAAAGUCUCUACAGUGGUAUGAACCGAAACACCUGGAUUAUGUGUUUUCAUGUAUUUGACAUAAACGCACACAUUUGUACGCUAAACACACAUUUUUCUAUAUGUAAUACAAUUCACACCAUUAAAUAGUUAACAUAUAUUUUAUUUUAGGACCUCUCCCACGAUGUGAGGACUAAUAGCCACUCCCUCUCCCCCCCGGAUAUUAAGAGCCACAUCGCAGGGCGGUGAGGCACCCCUCGCGAGGUGGGGACUAAUCGCCACCCCCUCUCCCCCUCUGGCUAUUAGGAGUCACCUCGCAGGGGGGUGAGGCACCCCCACAAGGUGGGGACUAAUAGCCACCCCUUCUCCUCCCGCUGGCUAUUAGGGGCCAUGGUGGACUCACAGCCUGUUUAUGAUAUUGUGAGUAAUAUCAUCUCCCUCUCUGGAAAUUAUGAACUGUUUCACAGAUGGGUGUAUACCCUCAGUGUGUACACCAUCAGAGGGUGUACACCCGUCUGUAUUGGGAGUAAUAUCCUCUUCCUCCCUGAAUGUUAAGCAGAAUAUCCCAGGGUUGUUUCUACUCCCUGCAUUAUUGGGUGUCAUAUCUUCCUCUCCCACGUGGAAAUUAGAAACAAUAUCACUGGGGGCGUGUACACCUUCUGUAAUAUUUAAAGUAAUAUCAUCCCCUUCCCUCCAGGCUCAUGGGAACAAUAUCCCUGGCGAGUGUACACUUUCUGCCAUAUAUGUCAUAAUAUCAUCCCUCCCGCCUUGAAAUAUUAUGAAGGAUCAUCUCACACGGGGUGUACAACCCUUGGUGCGAUAUUGGGAAUGCAAUUAUCCUCUUCCCCCCCGGCAUAUUUGGAAAAAUAUCAGAGUGAGUGUACCCCUCCUGCCAUAUGAGGAUUACUAUCCUCUUCUUCCUUUCUGGAUAUUAGGAAGAAGAUCACACGUGGGUUUGCACUUUCUUCGAUAUCUGGAGUCAUGUCAUCCUUUCUCGUUUUGAAUGGCAAGAACAAUGCCUUGGGAGGGAUGUACACACCCUGUCAUAUUGGGAGUAAUAUUACACUCUCCCCUCCUUGAUAAUUAGGAACAAUAUCCUAUGCUCUCUGUCCCUGGAUAUUAGGAACAGCAUCACAGGUAGGUGUACACCCCCUGCGGCAUUAGGAGUAAUAUGAUUAAUUAUUAAACAUCCAUGAUCGAUAUUAACAAUUAUCAAUGAUACUAUUAAUAGGAUACCGUUAUUAUGGAUAAUUUUAAAUAUAUGAUUAUGCAUGC